GAUCAGGUUGAUCUGGGAGGAAGCGUUGUUCCUUCGCUAUGGUGCGCAAAUCUCUAAGAAGUGGGCGAGCGUGCGGGCAGCGCAUGCGGUGCCAAUUGCAGCGACUACCGANNNNNNGCAAGAUGCUGCGGAAUCUUCAGCUCAGCGCGAGCUUGCGGAGAUGCUUGCGAAGCCGUCUUCAACGACAAACGAAGAUCGCCCUUUGGUCCAGGCCGCAUUCUNNNNNNAUGUGCGCUCGGAGGUGUUCCGCCGUGCGCUUGAAAGUGUGAGCCCUCAAAUCCAGACACU
rnacentral:misc_RNA from 1 species